rnacentral:rRNA from 1 species
AACGAACGCUGGCGGCAUGCCUAACACAUGCAAGUCGAACGAGACCUCCGGGUCUAGUGGCGCACGGGUGCGUAACCCGUGGGAACCUUCCCUCAGGUGCGGAAUAACUCCCCGAAAGGGGUGCUAAUACGGGAUAUUGUCUUCGGCCCAAAGAUUUAUCGCCUUUGGUUGGGCCCGCGUUGGAUUAGCUAGUUGUUAGGGUAAAAGCCUACAAAGGCGACGAUCCAUAGCUGGUUUGAGAGGAUGAUCAGCCACACUGGGACUGGGACACGGCCCAGACUCCUACGGGAGGCAGCAGUGGGGAAUAUUGGACAGUGGGCGAAAGCCUGAUCCAGCAAUGCCGCGUGAGUGAUGAAGGCCUUAGGGUUGUAAAGCUCUUUUACCCGGGAUGAUAAUGACAGUACCGAGAGAAUAAGCUCCGGCUAACUCCGUG